UACGAAGGGGGCUAGCGUUGCUCGGAAUCACUGGGCGUAAAGGGUGCGUAGGCGGGUCUUUAAGUCAGGGGGGAAAUCCUGGAGCUCAACUCCAGAACUGCCUUUGAUACUGAGGAUCUUGAGUACGGGAGAGGUGAGUGGAACUGCGAGUGUAGAGGUGAAAUUCGUAGAUAUUCGCAAGAACGCCAGUGGCGAAGGCGGCUCACUGGCCCGUUACUGACGCUGAGGCACGAAAGCGUGGGGAGCAAACAGG
rnacentral:rRNA from 1 species